GGAGCUGGAAUUGACAGACCCUCUUCUGUCUGUACGUGGUGUCCAAGUACUUAGGGGUGGACUCCCCCUUCCUCAAAGAGGUUUUGUCUGAGCCUUGGCGUCUCUCCACCAGUCAGACCCCGGUUCAGCAGAUGGAGCUGUUUGACCUGAAGACCACCCCGACUUCAUAUCACUGGGCGGAGGGUUCGGACCUGUUGCUGAUGAUGGUUAUGGGGUUUCAUACAUCAUUGUGGGUGAGGUAUAUCAACUUCCACGUGUCGUCCAAAUACUCCUGCACUGAGACUGUAAGUA